rnacentral:rRNA from 1 species
UACGUAGGGGGCUAGCGUUGUCCGGAUUUAUUGGGCGUAAAGAGCGUGUAGGCGGCUUGGCAAGUCUGCUGUGAAAACUCGAGGCUCAACCUCGAGCUGUCGGUGGAAACUGCUUGGCUAGAGUCCGGAAGAGGCGAGUGGAAUUCCUGGUGUAGCGGUGAGAUGCGCAGAUAUCAGGAGGAACACCAAUGGCGAAGGCAGCUCGCUGGGACGUGACUGACGCUGAGACGCGAAAGCGUGGGGAGCAAACAGG